rnacentral:rRNA from 1 species
AAAGCUCUUUCGGCAGCAACGAAACGGUGGGGAUUAAUACCGCAGAUUAAUGACCGUACCUGAAGAAGAACCCCCGGCUAACUACGUGCCAGCAGCCGCGGUAAUACGUAGGGUGCGAGCGUUAAUCGGAAUUACUGGGCUUAUAGCGUGCGCAGGCGGUUUCGUAAGACAGAUGUGAAAUCCCCGGGCUCAACCUGGGAACUGCAUUUGUGACUGCGUGACUGGAGUGUGGCAGAGGGGGGUGGAAUUCCACGUGUAGCAGUGAAAUGCGUAGAGAUGUGGAGGAACACCGAUGGCGAAGGCAGCCCCCUGGGCCAACACUGACGCUCAUGCACGAAUGCGUGGGGAGCAAACAGGAUUAGAUACCCUGGUAGA